rnacentral:rRNA from 1 species
AUUGAACGCUGGCGGCAGGCCUAACACAUGCAAGUCGAGCGAGCGGCGGACGGGUGAGUAAUGUAUGGGGACUGCCCGAUAGAGAGGGAUAACUACUGGAAACGGUAGCUAAUAACGCAUUCUAUCGGACAACCCAAAUGGGAUUAGCUAGUAGGUGAGGUAAUGGUUAACCUAGGCGACAACCCCUAGCUGGUCUGAGAGGAUGAUCAGCCACACGGGAACUGAGAAACGGCCAAGACUACUACGGAGGCAGCAGUGGGGAAUAUUGCACAAUGGGCGAAAGCCUGAUGCAGCCAUGCCGCGUGUAUGAAGAAGGCCCUAGGGUUGUAAAGUACUUUCAGUCGGGAGGCGUUACCGACAGAAGAAGCACCGGCUAACUCCGUGCCAGCAGCCGCGGUAAUUC